GGCGCCGCCUCCUCCGGCCACCAUGGCUCAAGAUUCUUGGGGGGUUUUGCUUGUCUCAGUCCCAGCAACAUUCCCACAAAAGGAAUCGAGCCAAAUCGAAGUGUGACUGACGAAACGAGUGAGGAAAUUACUUUCAGGGUCGUGGAAGUUGCACGCAGGAAAGAAGUGGAUAACUCCGCAGGUGUGGAUUAGCGGGAAUUGAC